GCGGGGUUGGCUCAGCUGGUAGAGCGUGAGUCUCAUAAUCUCAAGGUCGCGAGUUCGAGCCUCGCAUCCCGCA